rnacentral:rRNA from 1 species
AUGGAUCAGACGCGCGUCUGGUGGGUUGCGCCGCGCGAGAUCUCCUCCCCCUUUCCUUCGAUCAUUUUCUUUCUGUUUCCUCCGCUCCUUCUUUCCCACGAUCUGGUGCCUCUUUUCCUCUUUCCUUGCCAAAAAGAAACAACUUCCUCGAUCCCCUGUUCCGCCGCCGUGCGACCACAGCAGCCACAUCAUGGCGGCGCGACGAAGCAGCCCACGCCGGCGCCUCACUGCCGCUCCCCUCUCCCUCUAACCUUGCUCCGCCACCCGCCGCUCGGCGCCUUCCGCUCCGCCCGUCGGCCUUCUCCUCCGUGGAUCUCGGCUGGUCGAUCCUGCCCGUGGGCGCGUGGCUGGACCGCCCGACAUCUCAACUCCGGCGCCAACCGGCUCUGCUCCGGCUCUUCCGCCAUCCUGCUCGCCUGCCCCCGACUGGCUCGCCUGCCUCCCGUGCGACCUAUUACCUCCACAACAACAAAAGUAUCAUUAUUCCCCCUGUUUCCCUCUGUAUUUUUCAUUGCAAGUGCAGCAAAGUGCAGCAAAUUUAGAUUUUGUUGUGUUUGUGAAGAGCCAUACCCUUUUAUCGAAAAAAUGCUGCUGAUUGCUUACCUAUUUACUGCUGAAAUCUUGAAGUAG